GCCUGGGUGGCUCAGUUGGUUCAGUGUCUGACCUUGGCUCAGGUCAUGAUUUCGCAGUUCGUGGGUUCAAGCCCCACCUCUGGCU
rnacentral:tRNA from 1 species